CAUGUAUAUAUAUAUGUAUGAUGUGUGUAUAUAUAUUCCAACAAACUCCAUUCAUCUCAACAGGACCACUAGUACUCACCUAAAAUAUUACCUUUUGUGUGAGCCUUCUAACUUUUUUUUUCACAGUUACUUUCUUUUUAUAUAUUUUAGUCCUAUUAAUAGAACCAAGAAGAUGAUGGAUCUUCAUAUUGUGCUUUCUUCAUCUAUUUCACACUUUAUUAUUAUUCCUAUUUAUCUAUAUUCUCCCUUCUAUUAAUGCUUUUAUCAUUUUUCCUUUUUCAGGUCAAUUUAAUACAUACUUUUAUAUUUUUCUCUGUUUAUAUUAGGUUGUUUUUUCUUUAAUAAAUAUAUUCUGAACUAAUAAAUCUUUACGAAAGUGUUUUUUUUUUUUAUUUUGGAGAGAGUGAGAGGACUAGGAAAGUGUAUUUAUUUUGGGUUGCUUAAUAUAUAUGAAGCUUGCUUUGGAAAGAUAAUAUAUAUAAAUGGGAGCAUAGAGUUUUGUUUUUGUUUUUGUUUUUGUUCUGGGAGUCCAGUAUAGUCGAGCAUAACAACAGAUUCUUCCUUCGAAGUAAUCACUUUAGGUUUCAGCCACUCAUAAGAUGCCAAGUCAGCUUUUACCCGUGGGCUUCCUGCUCAUUUUGGCUUAUUAUUGAUUAUAUUAUAAUUUCUUAAUCCAUAUCUCUCUUGUUUAUUUAUUAAUAAUUUAUGUUUUCUACUUGAAGGAUAUAUUUUCUCUUGUUAUAAGCUUCACAUUUUCUGGCUUCAAUACACCCCAAAUAUAUAUACAUAAAUAUCUGUAGAUGAGAAGGGAUUCUGCGGUCAUUGUUUGCUGGUGUGGCAUCAUCAAGAUUCACAUAUACAACAUAUAAAAGUGAACCCCGGCUCCUAACCGAGAGAUUUUGGCCCUAAUAAUCAAUCCUUAGUUUCUCGGCGGGCGCCGAAGUUGUGUGGUUACUGAGAAUCUUGAUGAUGCUGCAUCGGCAAUGAAUUGAUGACCAUACAAAGAUUCAAGUGUGCCCUUUGCCCUUUCAUCGACUGGGUUUCGACUGAUGAUGAUCCUCUUUUGUUUUUGUUUUUGUUUUUCCAUCUUUACCUUCAAUCAUCUUGAUUCAUCACUUGGUUAAUUUAUCAGGUUAGUUUUACCUUAUUAUUAUUUUAUUUUAUUUUCUUUUCUUGUUAUAUUAUUUUUUAUUAUUAUUAUGUGUUGUUCGUCAGGUCUUUCAUGGGAUUGAUCUCAACCAGAUAAGUUCGGUAUAGUAAGCUGACUAGGUAAUGGCAGAUCUGUAAUUAUUGGUUUAGGAAAUUUUAUUGCUUAGAUUGAAAUGGCAUCUUUUUAAGAGUACUGAGCUUUUGAUCGAGAUAGAGAGAUGUGACUUUUUCAGGAACAGGAAAAGGAGAAUCUUGGUGAUGAUAUGCGAACAACCCUUAAAAACAAAAUGGAAAUAGAAAAACAUAAACUUUUAUACAUAAGCUUGACGGUGUACUAUUUUUUAUAUAUUGUUAUUAAUGCUUCCAGAUCCAUAAACCAUUUUUUGUGGAUACAUUCGAUCGGAAAAGAUCUAUUAUUUAAAGUAGUUCAUAGGUUUAUUUUUUAUUUUUGUUUUCUUUUAAAAAAGAACUUUUUUUUUUGUAAGUUUUAAAAAAAAGAACUUAGUCCUAUUAUUUGUUUUUAUAUAUUUGAGUUUCUUCAAUUUUUUUUUUAUGAAUUGAUGAGGAGACCAAAGAAUAUUUCUUGAACCUGAUAUCAAGGUAAUAAUGUGACACUGUUAGACAUUAUUGAUAAAGUUAUUAAUUACAUGAAAUUUUAGGUUUGGGAGUUAAUUUUGGUUUGUCUUAGAAUGAAUUUUAUUAUUCUAUAUAUACAUUCUCUCGUUCCCACCAUCUUUUGUCUUCAUCUCUAUAUGGUUCAAAACAAUGUUAAUUGUUUUAUAGACAAUAAUCUAGGAAGAGGUUUUGCUGAGUGGAAUUUAGCAGAUCAUUGAAAACUGGAUUUCUUUUAUUUCUAUUAAUUUUUUUAUUUUUUUUUAAAAAAUAAUACACUUUGCAAGAAUAUUUAGGCAAACGUCAUUUGUUUGUAUGGAAAAUAUUAACCAGUAGUCAUAAGAUCUAGUCAUCUUUCAGUCUUGUGGUGGACCAACCAUAGAAAGACAUAUAUAGACAUUGCAACUUAUUGGACCCAACUGAUACAUAUAAAUCAUCACUCUCUCUCUUUCUCUCUCUUUUCUUCUCUCUCCCCACCUAUUUUUCACCCUCUUCAAUAAUAGUACUACCUGAAAAAGAAAAUUAAUUUUCCUAAAAAAUUAAAUCAUAAAAUAAUAAUUUUCUUCAGUAUUAUUCAUGACAGUGAUAAUUCAUUGGAUCUGAUCAAGAUAUUUUGGAGACCUGCGUGCCUCUUUGAUCACCAUAUAUUCAAGCCUUGAUUUGCCUACUAUGGCCAUCCCAUUUGUGGGUUGAAACUACUUGAAAGAGAGAAGUCACACCCAUGAUGUUGAACUCCGUACGUUGUACAGAGUAUUUAUGUAAACCUCGAAGUUAGCAUAAAUGUUCCUGCUGGCCCGUACGUAAAACGGACCUACUCCUGUUCGGCUACAUUUGAUCCUACGUACAUUUAUAACUCUCCCCAUGUAUAUUGCCCAUUGCCCAAUAUAUAUCAUAUGUGUCCAGGUUCGGCCGCUUCACACUUCAUUACUACUUAUUCUAUACAACAUUGAAAAUUUACUUCUUUUAAAUUGACUCAGUUCACCAUACUUUUGACAUCAGAUCGACCGAUCGAUACGGACAUUUCAAAACAGAAGAUUGGUAUUAUAUGGGUAUUGAUAAUAAACCUCUAAUAUUCAUGUACAUUUGAGAUUAAAGUAAUUGUCCAAUGCCAUGGCUUUAAAUUCAUACAACUUAAGUUGUAUGAAUUUAAAGCCAUGGAAUUGGACAAUUACUUUAAUAAUCUCAAAUGUACAUAAAUGUUAUUACACACACUCGAUAUAUCUGGUACUAUA